rnacentral:rRNA from 1 species
CCUACGGGGUGCAGCAGUGGGGAAUAUUGCACAAUGGGGGAAACCCUGAUGCAGCGACGCCGCGUGAGUGAGGAAGUAUUUCGGUUUGUAAAGUUCUUUCGGCAGGGAAGAAAAUGACGGUACCUAACUAAGAAGCCCCGGCUAACUCCGUGCCAGCAGCCGCGGUAAUACGGAGGGGGCAAGCGUUCUCCGGAGUUAAUGGGUGUAAAGAGUGCGUAGGCGGUUUGUCAAGUCAGAAGGUAAAGACUAGGGCUCAACCUUGGGAUGGCUAUUGAAACUUAAAAGCUAGAGUGCGGGAGAGGUAAGCGGAAUUCCUGGUGGAGCGGUGAAAUGCGUAGAUAUUAGGAGGAACAUCGGUGGCGAAGGCGGCUUACUGGACGGUAAUUGACGUUGAGGCGCGAAAGCGUGGGUAGCAAACAGGAUUAGAUACCCGUGUAGUC